rnacentral:lncRNA from 1 species
AAAGGAAGUACUUAGGACCCAAAGGUUUAACCAGGCUGGUGACACUGAAAUUUACCUAUGCCCUGUGGUUCUGAAAAGUAGCUUUCCAGAAUUCCUCACCCUUUUUGUGUUCUGGGAAAGGGUUUACUGCAAAGAAUCCCCUUCCCAGGUGACACAUGAGACUCAAAAUUCACUCUUUCUCCUAACUCACAUAAGACUCACAAAUGUUUCUGUAUAACAAAGCCAGACCCUGAAAAACUGUCUUUGUUUCAUAAAUAAUUAGCUGAACUGUUUAUCCUCCCAAAACUAGCUUGACACAGAGAUAAACAUUUCUUGUUCAUCUUGUCAGAGGCAUUCGAACCAGAGCAACUUGAAUACUGGCUGGAUAAAAUAAGGCUGAGACCUACUGAAGCAGGACAUUUCACUGACCCCUUUGUGGAACUCGCAACAGGGGUGCCCCGUUUACUCAGCCCACAGCUCUCAACUCCUCAUAGGAGGGAGUGAGCAAGCCAACAAGGCGGGAACUGGAAUACACGAGUGCUAGAAUCAGCUGGCUACUUCAUAGCUGGCAAGAGCAAACUCCACUCACUCAGACCCGCUGCUUUCCACCCCUCGUCGGACAGGGCACACAGGUAACCAAAGAAUCUGACCCAUAGGGUUUCUAACUCACAAAAGGAGGGUCCAACUAUGUGGAAGCUGUCACCUUUGAUGGAAUUUAUCUGAUACCAUAUAACAUAGGUGUUUGACUUCAACCAGAGUUGAAGAUCCCCCAUCUGCAAUACUGCUGCACCCCCACCUCAAGCCCCAGCUGAUUGAACCCCAGGUGGAUUCCUGAUUCAGGCAAUCCACAGGCUGGGCUGAAGCAAUCAUGAUGUCUCUCUAAGGAAUAUUAAUUAAAAGCCACAGAGACCCCAGUCAGUUUUAAGGAGGUGUGCCGCCAGAAACCAGGGUCAGCACCAUACCAAACCAAAGUUAUGGAGGAGUAAAAACCAAAAGUCUUGCAGAAGCAGCAGAUUUGGAGACAAAAAAAGCAGAACCCACAUGCAGAAAGAAAAGAGAGGCACCACGUGACCCUUGAGACAAAGUGACAGACAUUCCAGUGCUGCCAGACAGAUUUCCAGUAUCUGUGAGGUCCUGCUGUGCACCAGAGAAGAGAGUUCUGGGAAAACCCCUGCUAUGGGUUGAACUGUAUUCCCCAAACAUUCAUAUGUUGGAGCCUUAACCUCCAGGACCUUAGAAUGGGACCUUACUUGGAAAUAGAGUCAUUGCAGAUGUAAUUAGUUAAGCUGAGUUCCUACUGGAGUAGGGUGGGCCCCUAAUCCAAUAUAUUGUUGUCCUUAUAAAAAGGGGAAGUCUGGAGAAUAGUUAUCCUUCCAAGAUAAACUAUUUGCCAAAUAUGUAACAGAGUAACCAGCCAUUUCCAUAUGGGAUUUCUAGUCAUUUCCCAGUUAAAAAUUAAGGAAUAGGUACACGCAGUAAGAGCACUCAGUGAAGAUGAGGGCAGAGAUCAAGAUGCCACAUCUACAAACCAAGGAACACCAAAGAUUGCCAGAAACUAUCAGAAGCUAGGGGAAAGGCAUGGAACAGUUACUUCUUCACAGCCGUCAGAAGGAACCAACCCUGUUGACACCCGGACCUCAGACGUGAAGCCUCCAGAACCGUGAGAUACAAAAUUCCUGUUGUUUAAGCCACUCAGUUUGUGGUACUUUGUUAUGGCAGCUCUGGAAAAUGAAUAUGACCCCUAUAACUGCAUUUCCAUGUGAGCUCAUUUAAGUGGGUGUCUGUUCCUUGAAGAAGAAAAAUGAUAUGAAUCAAAACAUCCCACCUAAACUGCCUUUGCUCUGAGCAGAGGGAACACCCUCUGGCAGAGCCAGGGUUCUUCUCAGAAAAUUAUUCCCAGUCUCCUCCAGGACUAAGAUAAAUGAAUGAGCAAAGUUUAAAAGUUCUCUUCUAAAGAACAUGGUCAAAAUAGUUUUAGCCUGUAAAAUUUGAAGGCAGAUAAAACCAGAAUUCAGCCUUGGCAGAAUAAACUCUCAAUAAAGUAACCUCAGAUCCUUAGCUCCGAACACCACUUUUUUUUUUCCUGUAUUCCUUCCAAGAUAAACUAUUAGCCAGAUAUGUAACAGAGUAACCAGUCAUUUUUAUAUGGGAUUGUUAUUCAUUGCCCAGUUGAAAAUUAAAGAAUCAGUACAAAAAAAAAAAAAACAAAACACUUUUGUUCUAGGAAAGAGAAUCAGAUAUCCUUUUUUAGCAAUAAUUAACUAGCAAGGUCGUGCUGUCACCACGGUUUUUAAAAUACCCUUUUGUCUUUCAUGGCAAGUGUAUGCAUCUAGACCAUCUGAAAGUGGCUCUAGAACAUGAAAAUAUAAAUGUAAAACAAGAAAGGGGCAGGAAAAGAAUGAGGAGCAGGCAAAACAUAACCACGUGUUGGCUAUUUCUAACUCCCUGGUCCAGGAGUACUCAUUAAUCACUCUAAUCCCACAGAAGUAUAAUGAUUCUGAAUAUCUACAUAUGCCACAAAUUAUCUAAUACUGUUCCUGAUUUACUAGGUGUGGAGUGGCCAUAUAUAAAACCUGACUGUUACUCACAUAAAAUAUUGGCCUGAAACUCUCAGACUUCGAAGCAAGUAGCAGAUUUGGAUGGAAUACACCACAAAUUAAUAAAGCCAUAAUCUAGAGAAGGUAAUAAAUUGACUUUUUAAAUAUGAGAUACUCUAAACUCUGGCUUCAGUGGGGAAGAGUUUUUUUUUUUUACUUCAAGUUAUGCUGAUUUAAUUACAAAAUAAGCUUUUCCAAGGCACUGGCCUUUGUAAUGAAGGUAAAUAUUACAUGUUUGCUAAAAAACAGGGUUUUAUAAAACUCCUCACCUCAUAUAAACAAUUGUAAGUCUUUUGUUUUUUCCAGAAAAAAAAAAACUUUCACUAAGUAUUAGUCACUCAUAUAUCUAUAAAUCUCAGAGGAAUUUCCCCAAGCACUCUGGCUUCCCAAGUAGGAGAUUGUUUCUCCUAGUUCAAGUCUCAUUUCACUGUUAGGCUGGCUGUUAUUUCAUGGUGACUUGCCAUGUUAAUAGUAUGUCUUCUAAUCCACGAAUGUGAUAUAGCUCUCCAACUUAUUUGAGUCCUCUUCAGUUUUACUCAACAGUGUUUUGUAGUUUUCUGUGUAUAGGUUUUGGAAAUCCAUAAUUAAAUUUAUCCUUGGGUAUUCUAUGGUUCUUUGUUAUUAUGAAUUGUAUUUUUUAUCUCAUUUCCCAAUUGUUUUGCUGGUAUACAGAAAUAUAAUUUAUUUACCUAUAUGGACCUGGAAAAUUACAGCUUUGUUAAUUAAAUUCAACUAGUUAUAUUAGUUGUUUUGCAGAUUCCUUAGGAUUUCUACAUUUUAAAAAUAAAGUCAUCUAAGAAUAAAUAAUUUUUAUUCUUUCCAACUUUGAAUGCUUAAUUUCCUUUUUGUAUUGUAUUGCCCUGGUUAAGCCUUUCAGUACAAUGUGGAAUAGAAGUAGUUAGCACCGAGAUCCUUUCCUUGUUCUUCAUCUUAGAUGAACAGCAUUCAGUCUUUUGCAAUUCAAUAGGAUGUUAGCGCGUAGGAUUUCUACGAGUAGCCCACUGAUCUUUUUAGAAUAAUGAGAUCCGGUCACUCCUUUGCCCAGUUCUCCAGUGGUUUCCCAAAUCAUUUAAAAUAAUUUCAUAAAUCCUUAAAGUGACCUACAUAAUCUGGUUUUCUAUAAUCUCUCUGAAUUCAGAUUCUCCCCUCCUCCCCAUCGCCAGUCACCACAUUGGGUGUUUUGCAUGGGGCACUACACACAGGCCCCAUCUCAGUACUUUGGCCCUUCUUGUUCCCGCUCCCUGAAGUGCUUCUUUUACCCUAGACAGCCA